ensembl:antisense Rbm46os RNA binding motif protein 46, opposite strand
GCCUGUUGAGCGCGCGCCUUCCAACGGUCAUCAAAAUAAUAAUUAAAAAAAAAAAAAAAAAAACAACGCCCUCCAGCAAAGCAGGAGUCAAGCCAAGUUUCUUUGAUGUCAGUUCCCAGCUUCGCUUCACACAAUGACUGGUAGCUUUUGCUCCUGCUUCCUGACCGGCUUGAGUUCCAGUCCUGACUUCCUUUGGUGAUGAACAGCAGUAUGGAAGUGCAAGCACACACACUAGACUGGCCUAGAAGUAUGGGGAUUGGUGCUUACUCUCUGUGAUCCUGUACCUUCAAUGAACUUCACUGCUCAGCAUCCGUCUCCCUCCCUGGAGCCUGCUCACAGUUGUUUCUUCAGCUCUAUCACAGUGUCAAAUACACCUCCUUCCAGUGAAUAUUCGGAAUGAUGUUUUUAUUUAUUAGGUUGAAGCAGUUGGUGUGCUUUAGAAAAUGAUCAUAGAACAUUGGGUCGGGCAGCUCUGUAGAAAAACAUGGAAGCAGCUGAAGGUGUUCCUCCCUUUGUUUGUAUGCUUCUGGAAGCCAUCAGAGGCCAUCCAUCAAACAACCUGGCCUGUCUUUUGUGCUGUCACACAGGGCUGGAGCAUAUGGGAAGAAUUAAUGUGGCAGAUGAGAGGAAAAUAAGUACUGGUAUACAAAGACAAAAGGAGUUCCAUCCUGUUUAUUCCAUUAAGUCUUAGCAUUUAUUUUUUUUAGACAUAUGCCAUAUUUAGGUUAUAGAAAAGAAAAUGUUCCUUUAAGCCCCGGUCUCAGCAGAGGCUGGGCAGACCUAUUGCCAUUUCAUCUCCCUUGAAAUGGAAGAUGCAAUCUUGGGUUUGAGCUGAGCUGCCUGACAUGUGUCAACCUCUAGAAAAUUAGCAGGUGUACCACACAGCAGCUUUCAACAUGCUGUGAAAAGAAGUCUCUGGCAUGUUCCAAGUCUGCCUAGAAAUCAAAGCCCUGUUUGCCCCCCCACCCCCGCCCUGCAUCUUAGACUGAAAGGUAUGGAGCCCUCUAGGCAUGCCCAGCCAGCUCACAACGUUGACCAGAGCUGCCCAACCCUAGACAACCAGGACUGUGAUAAGACAACCUAUUACUGUGAACCACUGACUGGUCGAGAAUUUUGUCAUUGUGGCCGCCAGAAUUCUUUUGUAGUUACGAUCCAUUAGUGUACAGAUUGUUCCACUGGGCACUCCUGUCACUAGGAAUGGACUUGGCUCCACCGACCUCACUCUCCAUUUGUCCUAGAAAAUCAGACCCAUAUUUCAUGACAUUUUAGUUGCCAGUUCUGAAUACCUGGGAGGCACUUUUCAGAUAUACAUGGGAUUUAAGGAGGAUUAACAACAAUAACCAAAGUUAGCAAAGUUAAAACCUAGGAUAAAUUUACCUGUAGCUAUAAAAACAGAUGCACCUGGAGAUGUUGUCCGUCUUCCACUGCCAGUGGGAGUGUAAAUUGAUUUGGACCCUUAGAAACCUUGGAAGUCAGUGGACGUUACUUUGUAGAGCAAAAGCCCUCAUCAGUAAUGUGCACAGGCUCACAUCAGAAAAGCUGAUGGCCUGCUGCUGGGUAUGUUCAACAUAUCAAAAGUCUUAGCAGGACCAGUGCCACGCCUGUGAGGAGUAAGCUACUUUUAGAAAGAUCGGGUAUACUAUAUGUCCUGAAAUUGAAUGGCAGUCUCAUCCAAAAAGGAAUUUCUCUAUACCUUCCUUGACUUUAAAAGCUCAAGCAGAGGUGCUGGAGAGCUCGAAGGGCUGCUGGUUGAGAUGUAAGAACACAGGCUGUUCUUGUAGAGGAGCCAGGUUCAGUUCCCAACACCCACAUGUUGGCUCAAACCCAACCAUAACACCAGUUCCAGGAAUCUGAUGCCCUCUUUUGACCUCUGCAGUCAACAAGCACACACAUGUUGAGCAGACAUACAUGCAGGCAAAACAUCCAUACACAUAAAUAAAAUAAAAAUUAAACAGGUAGCAGAGCAUUAACUAGGUGACAGUCCUAUCUAUAGUCACCUAAGAAUACAGCAUAGCGUGGUUGACAUAGAUACUAAGUAUUUUUGCUAGCUCAUCCCAGAUGCUAUAUCUCUUCAGAGACUCAGCUACUAGAAAAGACAAGAUUAGAUUUGUUUUCUGAGAGCUUUGUUGAGAAUCUCCCUGGGAUUGGAGAGAUGGUUCUGCAGUUGAAAGCAUUGACUGCUCUUCCAGAGGAUGUGGGUUCAAUCCCUAGCAGCCACAUGACAUUCACAACUGUCUGUGACUCUGCCCUCAUCAUGCUCCAGGCAUUCACAUGGUACAUAAACGUACAUGAAGGAAAACCACCCAUACACAUAAAUAAUAAAAGUGUUCACCUGUCCUCAUCACAAACAGCACACCCUGACAGUUUCUGACUUACCCAUAUCACACAUGUCUACCAGCCUGCAUUCACAAGCAAGUUCCUUCUCUUUUUUAAGUGACACAUUUGUGGUCACUGAUACCAUGAAAUAACUACUAAACUGAGAUUUCUUAUACUCCUAUCUCACAUCACAGUAAGGACAGCACAGUAAUGUCUUAAAUGUAUACAAAAGUAAUUAUUGAUGAAUUCAAGAUAAUAAAUGAUGUGACACGAUAUGAUUGUUAUGAGGAUGAAAUAAAAUAAGUCAAAAAAGGCCAAUUAUUAGAUACUGAGCUAUUGAUGUAUUCAAUGAUUUACUUAAAGCACUGUUGGCGCGGCCUGUCUGCCAAGCAUGACUUCACUGCUACCUGGAACAGAAUGACCUGGAGAAAUAGCUGAGACAAUGAGCUGUUCCCUUAACAACCUGCUGACUGACAUGUGUGCUCUGUAAAAUCUUGCCUGUUUGCCCGCCCCACCUUGUGGUUUUAGAAUAUGAAAUGAGAGUGCAAAAUGGACCCAACAUUGAUGCCUUUCACGAACUGUCCUGGCUUUGGUCCACUGGUGGCAUCUCCUCUCUUUCGCUCUCGUUGUGGGAGUACUUAUUCCAGAAAGAUUCCCACAAGAAUAUAGCAGCUGACAGUACUCCCAAGACAAAAUCCAAAGGCAGC